rnacentral:rRNA from 1 species
AUGGUCAAGGAAAUCAAGCAGAGCAAAGCCGUCUUCGUCUUCCCGCGGUGCUUUGGCCUUCGCCGCGCAACACGUCCCCGCCACGGCAGGAAGGAGAAGGAGCGUCCUGCUUCUCGGCCAGCAGAUUGGAGGGACUGGGCGGCGCUGCCCGUCACCGCCCUGCGCGCGAUCUUCAAGCGCCUUCAGACGGACGUCCUCCGAGGGACGGGGCCGGGGCUGGCGUGCGCGUCGUGGCGGCGGGCGGCCGUCGAGGACCCGCUGCUAUGGCGCCGCAUCGACCUCGCCUCCGACGAGGACAUGCAGAGGGACGGUCCGGUAGGAUGGGAGGCGAUGGCGUGUGCCGCCGUGGACCGCAGCGCCGGCCUGUGCGAGUCCUUCCGCGGCCGCGUCGACGGCGACUUCCUCGUCUACCUCGCCGACAGGGCGCCGUUGCUGAAGAGCCUCCACGUGACAAGCUCGUUCGACAUGGACCACAACAAGCUUGGCGCGUUGGCGAUGGAGAAGCUGCCCCUGCUGGAGCGGCUCGUGGUGGCGAAGGGUUUCUUCGACGAGCGUAUGCUGUGCGCUGUCCUCGACCACUGCCCGCGUCUCCGGCUGCUCGACGCCGGCGGCUGCUACACCUUUAGACAACAGUUUUGUUAG